GUAUUAAUAAAGGGUGAAAUCAAUUUUUUAAUGUAUAAUUGAUUUUUUGAGUUAAAAUUUAUUGAAGUUGUUAAGGUUAAGGUAUGGACCAGGAUUAGAUACCCUGUUACACUUUGCUUAAAAUUAGAUACCUAGGUAGUAAGCAGUUAUGGUCUUGAAACUUAAAGGAUUUGGCGGUAACUUAGUCUAGUUAGAGGAACCUGUCCUGUAAUCGAUAUACCACGAAGAAUCUUACUUUAUUUUGAAAUGUUCAGUUUAUAUACCGUCAUUAUUAGAUAACUUUAAUAAAAUGGAAGUUGUUGAAAUAAUCUUAAGUUAGUAUAUUAGAUCAAGGUGUAGCUUAUAAUAAAGAAGAGAUGGGUUACAAUAAUAUUAGUUUAUACGAAUAAAAGAAAGAAUUAUUUUUUUGAAGGAGGAUUUAAAUGUAAAAUUAUUUUAAUAUGAUAGUUUGAUUUUAGCUCUAGGUUAUGUACACAUCGCCCGUCGCUCUCGUUAUAUAAAGC
rnacentral:rRNA from 1 species